rnacentral:rRNA from 1 species
GACGAACGCUGGCGGCGUGCUUAACACAUGCAAGUCGAACGGAAAGGCCCUGCUUUUGUGGGGUGCUCGAGUGGCGAACGGGUGAGUAACACGUGAGUAACCUGCCCUUGACUUUGGGAUAACUUCAGGAAACUGGGGCUAAUACCGGAUAGGAGCUCCUGCUGCAUGGUGGGGGUUGGAAAGUUUCGGCGGUUGGGGAUGGACUCGCGGCUUAUCAGCUUGUUGGUGGGGUAGUGGCUUACCAAGGCUUUGACGGGUAGCCGGCCUGAGGGGGUGACCGGGCAAAAUUGGGAAGGAAAUGGGGCCAGGCCCCCGAGGGGGGGAGGGGGGGGGAAUUUUGGAAAAAUGGGCGGAAGCUGGAGCCAGCACCGCCGGGGGGGGGAGGGCGGCUUUGGGUUGUAAACCCCUUUGCGCCGGGGAGGAGGGGGGGGGGAGGGAAAGGGAAAAAAAGCACCCGCCAAACUACGCC